UGGCCCUUACGACCAGGGCUACACACGUGCUACAAUGGCGCAUACAAAGAGAAGCGACCUCGCGAGAGCAAGCGGACCUCAUAAAGUGCGUCGUAGUCCGGAUUGGAGUCUGCAACUCGACUCCAUGAAGUCGGAAUCGCUAGUAAUCGUGGAUCAGAAUGCCACGGUGAAUACGUUCCCGGGCCUUGUACACACCGCCCGUCACACCAUGGGAGUGGGUUGCAAAAGAAGUAGGUAGCUUAACCUUCGGGAGGGCGCUUACCACUUUGUGAUUCAUGACUGGGGUGAAGUCGUAACAAGGUAACCGUAGGGGAACCUGC
rnacentral:rRNA from 2 species